UUAGAAAGUAUUUAGUGACCUAUUGUAACAAACAUCUUUAAAGAGACCACUAUUUUUAAUGUGCAUUAGAUUUCAGUGUGACUGAGUGCUGGCAUAGGCUGGAAGGACUGGGUCCUUGGCUAUCCAGUGAUAUCCAUCUGAAUAUCUUAUACAAGAAGGGAAGACAGUACUACCGUGUGUAUAUAUAUGUACAUAUAUAUGGGUAGGUUGGUGACGCACUGGAACAGGUUGCCCAAGGAGGCUGUGGAUGCCCCAUCCCUGGAGGCAUUCAUGGCCGGGCUGGAUGUGGCUCUGGGCAGCCUGGUCUGGUGGUUGGCGGCCCUGCACAUAGCAGGGGAGUUGAAACUCGAUGAUCAUUGUGGUCCUUUUCAACUCAGGCCAUUCUGUGAUUCUAUGAUUCUAUAUUGAGUGUAGUAUUUCAAAGCGUGUUCUUGUUAAUUUGUUCCUUUUACUGCACAAUCCUGUGUGCUAUUUCAUAUCUUUAGAAUUGUGGUAAUGUAAUGUACGUCUCCUGUGUCCUUGCAGCCCAGGGGAACAUACUUUCCCCUCCAGACGAUCGGCUAACAGCUUAAUUGCCACAAUCAGGAGGAAAUAGCAGACUUGUUUCAGAUACACACUUCAGAUAACAAUAUACAGACUCCCUUGUGCAACAGUUACAAGGAAAGCAGCAGAUGUAAGAAAAUGAAGACACCCAAGAACAGUGUUUAAGCAGUAUCUUAGUAAGUUUCAGAUGUUCCUUCAUCAACGUGUGAUAUCAAUUACCUCCCGUGUCAUCCCUUCCUGUUUUCUUCACUAUUAAAAAUCCUUCUGAAUUUCCCUUCUAAAUCAGAGGGUUUCAUCCUUGGAAGCAGCUUCUGCAACAGAGAUCAAGGCAACUUUCAGUGAGUCACAAGUCCUUAUGUGAGGGCACUCCUCCAGCAUCACUGCUUACGUCCCAGAGAGCUCAGUUCAGAGCAUUUUGAGAGGAGUGAUCAGAAAUAAUAAGUGGGAAAACAAACAAAAUGCAACAGACCUGAGGAGUUCACGUGCAUGUCUUUGGAACGAACAAAUACCUUUUCAAGAAACUAAGGGCAAGAUGUUCUUCCUUGAGCUUCCAAGAGCUUCUUUGCUUUCCCGUUCUGAUUCACAAGGAGGAGAUGAUCUCGACAGAAAAAAUAUGGUCUUCGGUAGAGUAUAUGGUUUUCUGACAUAAAAGGCUCCAGCAGAAGAACAUAUGUGGGAUAACAAAGCUCAGUAGAAACCAACUAUCUGAAAAAGAAGGUGACAGCUGGGAAUCCUGCAUCUAAGAAAUGCUGCAAUCAGGAUUCAGCUUUUAUAGGCUCUUGGAAAAGGAGAGAUGCUCUGGUACCCACCUUGGGCUGAGACUGAGAUUCCCAAAUUCUAACAUGUGUUGAAGCAAAGCUGUGUGUAGAUAAUUCCUGAGUAGCCAAGCAGAUUGUCCUGGCUGAUACUGAAAGCUGUUGGUACAGCAACUUCUACUACUGCUACCUACAGUGACUGCAGUGGGUAGUGAGCAAGAUGGAUUUGGGAACCACCAAGCUGGAUGUGUUUAUUCAACUGCUGACUGAGGUAAUGUGUUCUUACUUUAGUUGAAGAAGAACAAGAGAACACUAAUGAGCAUGGAGAAUAUACAGAAGUUAAUGAAAGCAACAUAAAUAGGUGGUGGAAAAAGAUAAGCCCUGUUAGCUGGGUGAAAAGGGAACUAGAGACCAUGGCCUGAGCAUACAAAAUGUAUUUGGUGUUUUUUUUUCCCUGUUUUCCUGACAAAUACAGCAAGAACUAAAUGCUGAGGAGAAAAAGCACCAUAGAAACAAAUAGCUAGGGACAUCUUUGCUUAAUAUGAACUUCCAGUGGAAACUGAAAAGUGGAGCAGCUAGCAUUAACCAUUUUUUAACACAGCUGUUCAAAUCUUGUUGAAUUACACAACUUGUAUUGAAAUAAAUAGGAACUGCUGGUCCUGAGUUUUAUUACAAAUUAGGCCACUUGAGAAAUAGUUGCAUAACUGGUCUGAAAUAAGUAAUUACUGUAAGUCUGUAAGUUUAGAUGUUGCUGAAGUUUAAGCGGGUGGCUUAGUCUUCAGUACUUUUUUGCUUUAUUAUUAUUCAAGUAUGCAUCAAAUUUCUGUAAUCACUUUCUCAAAGAGCCUUAGAAUUGUCUACUGACACAAGUGAUCUGAAACAAUACAUUUGAGUAAGUGGGAAGCACACCAUUAGCACAUCCCUUGGUCCGUAGCUUACAAAACAGUAGUUCAAACUUUAGGACGUCUAGUACCAAAACAAAAACAUCGUGAUCUAGCGGCUGAAUCAGUAUAAACUCAAGCUGCCAAUACAACAUUGUUCAAAUGGGUUGGUCAUUAAUUUGUGGGACAGGUAACUUCAAGCUGUCUGGCUUUCUGUGGUUCUGCUGUUAUGUGCCUGACUCGACCUUUCCUAGUUUGCCCAGAUUUCUUUUUAAUAGCUCAUUUUUGUCAUUCUCACUUUCUAUGCUCAGAUAUAUUGUUUAAGUUUUCAGAUUCCCUAUCCUCAUUCCUUUUUUCAUUGGAUACUCACAGAACAUUCACUCAACAGAUUUUAUCUUUGUCACAGAUCCUGACCUAUCCAAAUGUUCAGAAACUUGUGACCACCUCCUUUUUGUUGUUCUUUUUAAUCGUCUUUUUUUUCCUUCGGCC
ensembl:lncRNA